rnacentral:rRNA from 1 species
AGAGUUUGAUCAUGGCUCAGGACGAACGCUGGCGGCGUGCUUAACACAUGCAAGUCGAGCGGGAUGCAGCAAUGCAUCUAGCGGCGGACGGGUGAGUAACACGUGGGCAACCUGCCCUAUAGAGGGGGAUAGCCAACCGAAAGGUUGAUUAAUACCGCAUAAACCAUUUCUAUCACAUGGUGGAGAUGGCAAAGGAGCAAUCCGCUAUAGGAGGGGCCCGCGGCCCAUUAGCUAGUUGGUGAGGUAACGGCCCACCAAGGCGACGAUGGGUAGCCGACCUGAGAGGGUGAUCGGCCACACUGGGACUGAGACACAGCCCAGACUCCUACGGGAGGCAGCAGUAGGGAAUUUUCCGCAAUGGGCGAAAGCCUGACGGAGCAACGCCGCGUGAGGGAUGAAGGUCUUCGGAUCGUAAACCUCUGUCUUCAGGGACGAUAAUGACGGUACCUGAGGAGGAAGCCACGGCUAACUACGUGCCAGCAGCCGCGGUAAUACGUAGGUGGCGAGCGUUGUCCGGAAUUACUGGGCGUAAAGGGCGUGUAGGCGGCCUUUUAAGUCAGAUGUGAAAUCUCAGGGCUUAACCCUGAAACUGCAUUUGAAACUGGAGGGCUUGAGGAUCGGAGAGGGCAGUGGAAUUCCCAGUGUAGCGGUGAAAUGCGUAGAUAUUGGGAGGAACACCAGUGGCGAAGGCGACUGCCUGGACGACACCUGACGCUGAGGCGCGAAAGCUAGGGGAGCAAACGGGAUUAGAUACCCCGGUAGUCCUAGCCGUAAACGAUGGGUACUAGGUGUGGGAGGUAUCGACCCCUUCCGUGCCGCAGUUAACACAAUAAGUACCCCGCCUGGGGAGUACGGCCGCAAGGUUGAAACUCAAUGAAUUGACGG